AAUUUUAUUUAUAAAUUUGAAUUUAUCUUAAUAAAAUGGAAAUAAUUGUAACUAUUUCAUAAUUGUUAGCUCUCGUCAAACUAGUUCAAUUGACGAAUUUUUAACCUAAACAACUCAGUUUUAAAAAAAAAAAAAUCCAAAAUAACCCACAAUUUAAAUUAAUUCUCAAACUAUCUCACUUUAAAAAAAACGUCAACACAUAGGUGC
rnacentral:lncRNA from 1 species